rnacentral:rRNA from 1 species
AACGUUAUUCGUAUUUACUGGGUGUAUAGUAUAAAUAAGUAAAGAAUUUAUAAAUAUAUAAAUUGUUAAAAAGUGCAAAAAAUUCUUUAAUUCUUUGUAGUGUAAUGAUAAAAUAUAGUAACACUUUAAGAAUUUCUUUUAAAAAAGUUUUUUUUACUUUUUUUUAAUUUAUGAAGGUAUAAAUAUCGAAUAGGAUUCGGGACCCUAGUAGUUUAUACAGUAAACAAUGGCUUUUUUUAAUGUAAAUAGCUCACUUAGGGAGUACGGUCGCAAGAUUGAAAUUUAACAGAAUUGGCGGGAAUUUAAUUUAACGGUGGAACAUGUGGUUUAAUACGAUAAUCCACGUAAAAUCUUACCAGUGUGUUUAAUUUAUUUAAUGUUAGUUAUUUUUAACCUUAUUAUAAAUUAUGUAGUAUUGCAUGGCUGUCGUCAGCUCGUGUUGUGAAAUGUAAAAUUAAGUUUUUUAACGAGUGCAAUCCCUAAUAUCUUUAUACUGCUAAACUAUGGUUUGUCUUUACAGGUAUUUUUGUUCAGGGUCGAAGUCAAGUCGGUAUGGUCUUUGAAUGCUGGGCUACACACGUGUUACAUUGAAAAAUACAAAAAAUGGUUUAUUUGCGAGAAUUUACUAUAUUUAAAAAUUUUUCUAAGUUCGAAUUGUUUCUUGGAAUUCAGAAGCAUGAAGAUGAAAUCGUUAGUAAUUGUAAAUAAAUAUGUUACAGUGAAUAAUUAAAUUAAAUUUUGUACACACUGCCCAUCACGCUCGAAAAGUAUAGUGAAUUUUUUUAUAAAAAACUUAUGAAUUACUUGUAAUGUAUUGGAUUAUGUUAAGUGGUUUAUAAAAAAAUAAAUUUUGUAAUUUGAGUG